rnacentral:rRNA from 1 species
AUUGAACGCUGGCGGCAUGCCUAAUACAUGCAAGUCGAGGCUAGAGGCGGACGGGUGAGGAAUGUCUGGGAAACUGUCGGUUAGCGAGGGAUAACUACGGGAUACGGUAGCUAAUACCGUGUACAAUGCGAUUUGCACAGUUGGGAUUAGCUAGUUGGUGGGGUAAAGGCCUACCAAGGCGACGAGCCGUAAACGGUCUGAGAGGAUCAUCAGUCACACUGGAACUGAGACACGGCCCAGACUCCUACGGGAGGCAGCAGUGGGGAAUAUUGGACAAUGGGCGAAAGCCUGAUCCAGCCAUGCCGCGUGUGUGAAGAAGGUUUUCGGAUUGUAAAGCACGUUAAGUUGGGAGGCGUUACCAACAGAAUAAGCACCGGCUAACUUCGUGCCAGCAGCCGCGGUAAUAC